UCUGGGCGCCAGAUCCGCUAGCGAGGAGACUGGGGUCACCGAAUCCGGCGGCCCUGGCCUCCUUACUUGGAGAUCCGGCGGCUCAU
rnacentral:pre_miRNA from 1 species